AAGGAUCUCCUCAUACAUGUGUGCCUUGUUACGAGUUACUACUGAAGUUGAAGCUCGCUGUCUGAAUUGAAAUCCAUGCCAUGGCCUUAAGCCUUUGAUCGAAAAGGAUGGUUUUUGAUGCGUGAUGCCGAUGGAUCACGCGAUUGUAAGCAAAGACCACAUGGGUCGUCAAGUUGCUAGCUGCUGACUGAUCGGUCGAUCCCAUCGGAUACAUACAAGUUCCAGCUCCCAGGUACGUGUCUCCGUCUCUCACACCACUG
rnacentral:lncRNA from 1 species